GGUGAAUGGAUUGUGUAUGGGCGUGAGAGUAAAACUUUACAAGGUCGAGAGUCAUACAAAAGCCAAAGCCGCAUUAAAGCCAGUCCCAGCCAGGCUUAAGGAGAGCUGGAAUGGAGAGGAUUCUCAUCUAACAUCUGGGUUGCAGUUGUAUGUUAACAUGGACUUCCUAGGAAGUAACAUAUCAAACAAAAGGGAAAGUGAUCAACCAGCAGCAGGUACCAGCCACAGUUAACUGCACCUGCUAGGAGCUCUGAAAGACUUUUUUUUUUUUUAAACGAAUAAAGAAAUUCUCAUUUCACUCUCCUCCACACUGGACUCGCUGAAGAAAGAGCUACUCUCUGAUGAAGUUGGUGGUGCUGUGGAAGAGGACCGCCGCCUCCUGGACGAGGACCGGGACCGCUCAGCAUUGUCUGACUGACAGGAAAGGACCCAGAUAAGAUCCUGGAGGCAAUGGGAUGUGUGGCUGCUCAACACAGACCGACCACACUUGCUCACUGCCGUGUCAUCUCAUACCCUUCCACCCUGGACAUACAUACCUUCUCACAUGCACCAAGACUCUGUGCAUGGAGAGAAUCCUCAAACCAACAGAAAAAUGAUUGACACAGAAGCCAAGUGCCAGCACUGCGUAUAAGUAACACUACCACCAUCCACAGUGAAGUUAAAAGGAGUUCGAGUAAAUUCUUAGAUCCAUCUUCAUACUUCCACUUCCUCAGACAGCCGGGAGAGCCACCUUUCAGAAGCUUUUUUCAUCUGAUCCUCAUGUCCUUUCAAAGGUGAUUUUGUCUCUUGAGGGAUUUCUGGUUGUCACAAGUUGGGGGUAGUGCUACUGGCAUCUAGUGUGUAGAAG
ensembl:lncRNA artifact